rnacentral:lncRNA from 1 species
UCAAAACAGAGCCCUUCUAUCUUCUUCGGCCACCGCUUCAACUCUUGAAGGUGCCUCCUUAACCCAAAUCAUCGCCGAUGGCCAUUGAUUUCCUUCCUUCGCAAUCGUAUGCGCCGCUCGGUUCACCGCUCUGCCCACAAAAUGACGAGUAAAACUCUCAUAUCCUUGGGCCCUCUUUUUUAUUUCUUUGAUAAUCAUAGAAAUGCUUGAUCUGUCAUUCUCUGAUGAACGGAUUUUCUUAAUAACUAUUAAGGAAUCCCCUUCCACCACUAGUCGUCGGAAUCCCAACUCUUCGGCCACCGUCACCGCUUGUAAACAAGUCUUCGCCUCAACCGUGGUGGCAUCGGCCACAAAACUAUUUGGGUAAGCACAAGUCGCCAAAAUGUGCCCCUCACUAUCUCUAAAGAUUAUCCCAAAUACCGAACUAAACAUGCACUUGUUGAAAGUCGCAUCAAAAUUGCAUUUAACUUCAUUAAUUCCUGGUGGCGUCCAUAUACUAUUCAUCUGGUUCAUAGGUGUUGAAAUCACGGAUUCUGUAAAUGUGCUAUCUGAAUAAUAUGCUUUAAUAAACGUAACCAGACCCACUAUGUUCCGUUUUUCACCCUGAUGAUAUACCUUAUUUCUGUGGUACCAGACUGCCCAUAACACAAUAGUUAGCCAUUUGCAUUUCUCCUCUCCUGUACAAGAAAAUAUAUUUGCUGACCACAAUUUCCAACUUUGUCCUUGAAUGCUGGGCGAGACAUUUACCCCAACCCUUGCAGAACACUUUCAAUAAACAUGCAAUCCCGGAAUAUAUGGCUCACCGGUUCCUCUAUUGUACGACAGAGAGGACAAAUGUUCACCACCUGCAGAUUCCUCACUUGUAAAUUGUCAAACAUAGGGAUAUAGUUAUUAGCAAUUUUCCAUGUUGUAAUUUCUAUUUUGCUUGCAACUUGUAACUUCCAUAAUUUGUUGUAGAAGUUCUGUAAUAGCGUAGCUUGUUGUAACAUUUCCCCCUGCGCUGCUGUCACUUCUUCACUAAGCAG